UACGAAGGGGGCUAGCGUUGCUCGGAAUCACUGGGCGUAAAGCACACGUAGGCGGCUUGUUAAGUCAGGGGUGAAAUCCUGGAGCUCAACUCCAGAACUGCCUUUGAUACUGGCGAGCUUGAGUUCGGGAGAGGUGAGUGGAACUGCGAGUGUAGAGGUGAAAUUCGUAGAUAUUCGCAAGAACACCAGUGGCGAAGGCGGCUCACUGGCCCGAUACUGACGCUGAGGUGCGAAAGCGUGGGGAGCAAACAGG
rnacentral:rRNA from 1 species